UUCCAUGUAUACGCAGCAUCAGACUCCAGGGAAAAACUUCCAGCAGGCCGUGCAAAGUGCGUUGACCAAGACACAUACCCGAGGGCCAUACUUUUCCAGUGUAUAUGGCAAACCUGUGAUUGCUGCUGCCCAAAAUCCACAACAGCACCCAGAGAACAUUUAUUCCACUAGCCAGGGCAAGCCUGGCAGUCCAGAACCUGACACAGAGCCUAUUUCCUCAGUUCAGGAGAACCAUGAAAAUGAAAGAAUUCCUUGACCACUCAGCCCAACCAAAUUAUUGCCUUUCUUAUCUAAUCCUUACCGAAACCAGAGUGAUGCUGACUUAGAAGCCCUACGAAAGAAAUUGUCUAAUGCACCAAGGCCACUGAAGAAAUGUAGUUCUAUUACAGAGCCAGAAGGUCCUAAUGGGCCCAAUAUUCAGAAACUUUUGUACCAGAGGACCACUAUUGCUGCCAUGGAGACCAUCUCUGUCCCAUCAUACCCAUCUAAGUUGGCUUCAGUGACUGCCAGCUCAGAAAGCCCAGUGGAAAUCGCGAAUCCAUAUUUACAUGUGGAGCCCCAGAAGGAAGUGGUCUCCCUGAUUCCUGAACCUUUGUCCCCAGAGGCUAUGGGGAGUGCCGGUCCAGAGAACAGUGACAUGCCAGUUCCUUCUUCAGGCCUUGAUCAUGUGCCUGAAGGAGUCCCAGACAGUAGCCCUGAUCUCCAACAGAACGUGGAAGAACCAAAUCCAGAGGCUCCCCGUCUGCUUGACGUGUACCUGGAAGAAUACCCUUCUGGGGAGCCCAAAGGGCCUGGAGAGGACUCUGUGAGCAUGCGCCCACCUGAGAUCACUGGGCAGAUCUCUCUGCCUCCUGGCAAAAGGACAAACUUGCGUAAAACCGGCUCAGAGCGUAUUGCUCACGGAAUGAGAGUGAAAUUCAACCCCCUUGCUUUACUUUUGGAUUCAUCUUUGGAGGGAGAAUUUGACCUUGUACAGAAUUAUUUAUGAGGUCGAUGACCCAAGCCUGCCUAAUGACGAAGGCAUCACAGCACUUCAUAAUGCUGUGUGUGCAGGGCACACAGAAAUCGUUAAGUUCCUGGUACAGUUUAGUGUAAAUGUAAAUGCUGCUGAUAGUGAUGGAUGGACUCCAUUGCACUGUGCUGCCUCAUGUAACAAUGUCCAAGUGUGUAAGUUUUUGGUGGAGUCAGGAGCCGCUGUUUUCGCCAUGACCUACAGUGACAUGCAGACUGCUGCAGAUAAGUGUGAGGAAAUGGAGGAGGGCUACACCCAGUGCUCUCAGUUUCUUUAUGGAGUGCAGCAGAAAAUGGGCAUUAUGAAUAAAGGACUCAUCUAUGUGCUUUGGGAUUACGAACCUCAGAAUGAUGAUGAACUGCCCAUGAAAGAAGGAGACUGCAUGACAGUCAUCCACAGGGAGGAUGAAGAAGAGACCAAGUGGUGGUGAGCGUGCCUUAAUGACAAGGAAGGAUAUGUUCCACACAACUUGCUGGGACUGUACUCAAGAAUUAAACCAAGACAAAGGAGUUUGGCCUGAAACUUUAACAGCAUUUUAGUUAAUGAAGAAUUGAUAUCUGUUAUCACUAAGAAGAAGAAUACACUUGUUUUUAGCAAAAAUUUCAAAAGACUUGUUUUAAUGACUGUGUAGCUUCAAAGCAGCGAAGAAUGUCUCUAGAAGAAAAUGAAGGAUUAAAGAUUUCACUACUACAGGACAGUCAGCAUGAUGAAAUGGAAUUUACAAGGGAGCAGACCAUACUGUGUUGGAGCAAAGGUGUUCCAUGUAGCACUCAGAAAAAUAUACAGUGACAAUCCUGUUUUCUAUAAGAAAUUGGACGUUUAUUGGACUGUUGGGAAAUCGGCUUUAUGUCCUGCUUAGUGGGCAUUUUUAGCACUUGCUUGCAUGCCAGGAAGGACUAGUGCCAUUAUGGCACCAUCUCUGAUGUUCCCCUAACACCAGGAGUCCCUCGGGGGCCUGUAUGAAGGCUGGAUGGUGCCAUAUACUUGUAUGUUGUCAGCAAAGAACUGUCAGUUGGUUGUCCAUGAGCAAUAACUUUAUUGUAUGAGUUCUUGUAGCAUCUUAAGGAUUUUACAUACAUUUGAAAUAUUAAAACUAAGCUAUACUUUCAGUAGUUAGACUUAAAAUCUUAUUU